rnacentral:rRNA from 1 species
GGAAUCUAGUGACACUAUGUACUAACUUCCAGCAACUAAACUCUAAGCGAUCUAGAUUGUUAGUGGCGGACGGGUGAGUAACACGUUGGAACCUACCCCGAAGUGAGGAAUGACUGCCCGAAAGGGUAGCUAAUACCUCAUAGUCUCCGGUUUAUUCGGAGUAAAGAUUUAUCGCUUCGGGAGGGGCCUGCGUCCGAUUAGCUAGUUGGUGAGGUAAAUGCUCACCAAGGCGACGAUCGGUAGCUGGUUUGAGAGGAUGACCAGUCACACUGGGACUGAGAUACGGCCCAGACUCCUACGGGAGGCAGCAGUAAGGAAUCUUCCACAAUGGGGGCAACCCUGAUGGAGCAAUACCGCGUGCAGGAUGAAGCGUUUCGGCGUGUAAACUGCUUUUAUCUGUGAUGAUUAUGACAGUAGCAGAAGAAUAAGGAUCGGCUAACUACGUG